GGCGGCAGGCCUAACACAUGCAAGUCGAGCGGAAACGAGUUAACUGACCCUUCGGGUGACGUUAACGGCGUCGAGCGGCGGACGGGUGAGUAAUGCCUGGGAAAUUGCCCUGAUGUGGGGGAUAACCAUUGGAAACGAUGGCUAAUACCGCAUAAUGCCUUCGGGCCAAAGAGGGGGACCUUCGGGCCUCUCGCGUCAGGAUAUGCCCAGGUGGGAUUAGCUAGUUGGUGAGGUAAUGGCUCACCAAGGCGACGAUCCCUAGCUGGUCUGAGAGGAUGAUCAGCCACACUGGAACUGAGACACGGUCCAGACUCCUACGGGAGGCAGCAGUGGGGAAUAUUGCACAAUGGGCGCAAGCCUGAUGCAGCCAUGCCGCGUGUGUGAAGAAGGCUUCGGGUUGUAAAGCACUUUCAGCAGUGAGGAAGGCGGGUACGUUAAUAGCGUGCUCGUUUGACGUUAGCUGCAGAAGAAGCACCGGCUAACUCCGUGCCA
rnacentral:rRNA from 1 species